UGCCAUGUGAUCCCUGGAAGAGAGGACACAUGUUGCUGGUGAUCUCAAUAAGAAAAUUUAAAGCAAUGGAUUCCUUCCAGAUUAAUAUGGUUUGAUGAAGCAAGAUGCCCUGAAACACUGUCACAGACUUUCAUAAGUGCUCCAUCCUUGGGAAUAUGCCUAAAGCCCCUAUGAAGGCUUCUCAGAAUUGCUACCCCAUGAAGGCACAUUGGAGUCACCAUACAAGGACACACAGAAGGCCCUCUCCAUGAAGGAUAGGCCCUCAUCAGGCAAAUGGAUGGAACUAGAAGAAACCAUUCUGAGCAAGGUAACCCAAUCACAAAAAGACAAACAUGCCACAGCCUCACUCUUCCUGAAUUAUCAGAUACCAAGCAUCCCGAAGUUCUUACUCGUCCUAGACAUGAUUUACAUAAUACCUAUUUGGCUCAAUUCUUCCUUCUUACCUUCUGAAAUGUUUUCAUGGACCACUUUGCCUAAAAUCACUGUCUAUACUUAUGCUAUAUUUUCCUCAUUGUUGUCUGAUAAUCACAGAAUUUAUCAGUCUGUUAAUUGUUCCUUGUUCUCAUUGCAAGUUCAAUGUAAUGCUAGGUUAUUAUUGUUUUUUUCUCUAUCCCAGGAAUAUAUGAGUAUUAUAUUAUUGUUCAUUUUGCUGAAUAAACAGGUGAUUGAAUAAAGUAUUGUAUAAAUUUCACAUGCAAAUUUUGAAAAUCAUAUUAGACAUGCAUGCUAAAAUAAUUUAAAGAACUCUUGGCCAUAUAACUUUGUUAUUACAUUCACUAAAUUUGUGCCUACA